AUACGGAGGAUCCGAGCGUUAUCCGGAUUUAUUGGGUUUAAAGGGUGCGCAGGCGGGAUGUUAAGUCGGCGGUGAAAUUUUGCAGCUCAAAUGUAAAAGGGCCUUCGAUACUGGCUUUCUUGAGUGUGGAUGAAGUAGGCGGAAUUUGUGGUGUAGCGGUGAAAUGCUUAGAUAUCACGAGGAACUCCGAUUGCGCAGGCAGCUUACUAAACUACUACUGACGCUCAGGCACGAAGGCGUGGGGAUCAAACAGGAUUAGAUACCCUGGUAGUCCACGCAGUAAACGAUGAUUACUAGCUGUUUGCGAUACAAUGUAAGCGGCUGAGCGAAAGCGUUAAGUAAUCCACCUGGGGAGUACGUUCGCAAGAAUGAAACUCAAAUGAAUUGACGGGG
rnacentral:rRNA from 1 species